GUACACGUUAAAUUUGGCACCAUCCGUGUGGUGCGGGAGGGAAGAUUAGAGAAGUGUGUUAUUGUGGAAGUGGAAGAAGACUCUGAAUCUCCUCCGAUCUCUCAUUCCACUGUUUCGUUCUCGAUUUUCGCUUUCAAACUUUAGAGUCAGCUCCACCGGCUUAAGGUAUCCUCAGAGUUACUCAAGAGGGUGUGAAGGCUACUCAACCUCCUCCUGAAAUGGCCUCUAGGGAAACUGUAAAGAAAGAGAUUCGACAAAUGCUAGAAGAUGACAGUGUAACAUCAAUCAUUCUUCUUGGGGAACAGGGAGUAGGGAAGACGUGGAUGGCAAAGGAGAUAAGCGAGAUCUGCAUGACUGAGGGCUUAACACAUAGAAAUCUCUGGGUAUAUCUAAACAAGAAGUAUCAUAGUAAGACUCUUCUUGAGAGCAUCGAGCGUCAAUUGUCUCUACUCUCUAAUGAGGAGUUUGAAGAUGAUGAGGAAGAAAAGGAAGAGACUUUGGAAAAUUUGAAACUCAGAAUUUCUACAAUGCUUGAAGAAGAGGCAACUGCAAUGAAAGAAAAAACACAAUUUGUUCUACUAAUUCUAGAUGAUGUUUUGGAAGAUCAUGCAAAAGAUAUUCUGUCAGAUCUUCCGGUUAAGGGUCAUCCGCAUAAGUUCUUUAAGGUUCUUAUGACCAUAGGCAAAACUCAUCACCAACUUGCUUCUGAAGUAUUCAAGAAUGAGAUUGAGAGCAACAACAGAAGGCUGCAUCAGAUGGAAUUCUUGUCUCCGGAUGAGUCAGAGAAUUUGUUGAAGGAAAAAAUCAAGGCAGACCAUGUCUUUCCUCAUUUGGAUCAACAUAUUGCAACCAUGAAAAAUGAGAUAAAUAAAGGUAUCCCUGCAACAAUAAUUACCAUCGCAGAAGCCUUGAAGUACCUUCAAAAGCAUGACUCUGGGGCUAGUCUGUUGGAAGGUAUUCUCGAAGAAGCAGGCAAUGAUGGGAAAGAAGCUGACUACAUAACUCAGCUACUAUGUUGUUGGUAUGAUGAGUUUCACAAGUCGUGUAGGAUCGAUAUGCUUCACUGCUUCUGGCAUAGUAUGCAACAUUUUCAUACCCAUAGCGGGGUGCAUUACAAUGAAUUGAUCACGCACUGGAUAAUAGAAGGAUAUUUUGGAUGCUUUGAUCAAAUUCAGAAGGCAUAUGAGCAAGGACAUGAAGUUCUAAUGCAUCUCAUCAAUUGUGGGAUGCUGAGCAAGCAAGAGGAUAAUAUAGUUAUCAUGAAUCAAGCAAUUUCUCGUAUAACUCAUCAUCGCCAUUCUGUAUUCAAUAAAACUGCAAGCCUCGGUCUGCCUAUUGUUUUCGAUGGUAAGGAUGACAAAUGGGAAGGAUUAGGGAGGAUAACACAAACAAGUGGUAUGAGAAAAUCACUCCACGGUCAUAAAAACUGGGAGAAAGUCUCUACACUCCUGAUGGAUGGAAGUUUUCUCUCUAGGGAAGUUCCGGAAACAUUUUUUCAGCCCUUGCGGGGACUUCAAGUUUUUGCCAUAUUCAAUCCCCUGUUCAGUUUUCUGCCCUUGCCCCUGUUGAGUCUUGAGAACCUUGUUGUACUGGUGCUUAGAGGGUGUGAUCUCCUGGAGAAAAUUGAUGAUAUCUGUGAACUUAGAAACUUAUGUGUUCUUGAGAUAUCUAGUGCUGCUUCGUUGAAUGCAAUCCCUCCUGAUCUCUUUGAGAACUUGCCUAACCUUCAAGUCCUUAAUCUAUCUUCAAGCAAGAUAGAAUCAUUGCCUCGUUCUCUUUUUAAGCAACCUAAAUUGCGUCAGCUUAUCCUUAGACAAUGUCAUCGCUUGAAAGCACUCCCAAGCCUUAAAGAGCUUGAAAAUCUUGAGGUAAUUGAUCUUUGCGGUGCUGACUCUUUAAUCAAAAUCCAGGACAAAAAUUUUGCACCAUUAAGAAAACUUCAGAUGCUUGAUCUUUCCAAAUCCAAAAUUGAUCGUUUACCUUUUCUUCACAAUCUUGAAAAGCUCACUGGACUCAUGCUAAGUGACUGUCCAUCCCUGACAAGACUGCCCAGCCUGCAAUCAUUAUGUAGCCUUCAAAUUCUUGAUGCUUCAAAUGCUAGAAACUUGGUGGAAAUUCAUGAUGACCCGUUCGAUAAUAAGGUUGACCUUCAAAUCGUUGAUUUAUCUGGAACUGCAGUUAGGCAACUACCUUCCAACAUAAGCUACCUGUCUUCUCUCUACUUGAAAGAUUGUUCUUCAUUUGAAAUAUUGCCAUCCACAAAAGCAUUGAAAAACCUCAAGAAACUGGAUCUUUCUGGUACCAGUGAACUGCAUGAAAUUGAAGACAAAUCCUUUGAACAUCUUAGGUACCUUCAAAUUCUUAACUUUUCAAAAGCCAAGAUAAAAGAAUUACCAUCCCUUUCAAACCUUGGUAACCUUCUUGAGAUCUUUCUAACAAAUUGUUCAAAUUUGCAAAAGCUUCCCAUCUUGAAUGGACUUAAAAGACUUAAGAAGCUCUACCUUUCUGGUUGUGUAGAGUUGGUUGAGUUGCCAUCCCUAAAUGCUCUUGAAAAACUAGAGGACCUCGACCUUUCAGGUUGUAGAGCUCUGGAAGUUAUACAAGCUAACUCUUUUGAGAAAAUGAUUGGCCUUCGGAUCCUCAACCUCUCUGAAACUAAAAUUAAGUCCUUACCAACCCUUUGCAACCCAAGCAACCUCAGUCACCUCAUACUUCAGAACUGCAUUGGCUUAAAAAUACUUUCACCCCUUGAACAUCUCACAAAACUUGAGGAGCUUGUUCUAUGUGGUGCAUGCUCCUUAGAAGAAACUAAGGCUCAAUUCUUGGAAGGUAUGAAGGACCUUCAAAUUCUUGAUUUAUCAGGAACCCCACUUACAACUCUACCAUCCUUGUCAAACCUCACCAACCUCAGGAAGCUCACACUAAGAGGUUGUUCGGGCUUAAAGACGGUGCCAGGUAUGGAAGCCUUAAAAAAUCUUGAGCAUAUUGAUCUCUGUGGAACGGCAAUUGAAAGGUUGCCAUCCCUAAAUAUUUACUGCAGGCUCCACCAGCUUCUAUUGAAAGAUUGCUCAAACUUAGAAGAGUUGCAGAAUCUUAAUUCACUUACUCAACUGGAGGUUCUUGAUCUUUCAGGAACCAGAAUAAAGAAAUUUCCUUAUGAGAUAUCAGAGUUAACUUGUCUGGAGCGUCUUGAUUUGCCAGACUUGAAGGAUGUGCUUGAAAUUGACUUGGGAAAGAUAAAGUAUCUACCAAAAGAGUUAAACUGGGAUCAAUGUGGCCUCUUCAAGGAUACUGCUAAACUUGUGAAGUGUGAGAAGCCUACCAUAUUUGUAAGAGGUAAAGAAAUUUUCCAGUGUUUGGAGAAAAGUCCUGAAUUAUGGAAUAAAUAUUUCAAGCAAUUUCAUUUCGUUGUUGGUCAUCAUAUGAAGCAAGAUGAAGAUGGAGAUAUCAAUUUUUCCAAAGAUAGACUUUUCUUUAGAGAUGUCUAUUUUCAUACUAGAUAUUUCUGUAUUCCUGUUGAAGAUGUCCAGCUUUUGGAAAUCCAUGGAUCAUAUAUCCUUCCCAAUGGUUUUGAAAGUGUCCUUAAGCACACCAAAUACUUGUCUUUGGUUGAUAACAAGUCUAUAAGUCGCUUAUCAAAAUUAGGUGCCCACAAUGUAGCAGAAAUGAGAGGCUACUGGAUAGAUAGAUGUACCAAAAUGGAAAGCAUUCUUGAUGGAGAAGAGGUGGACAUCAGACUUGGGAGCAAUUUAGAGAUUUUAUGGGUCUCAAACCUUCCUAGUUUGAAGAAUAUAUACAGUGGAACUGAGGGCUUCAAAAACCUCAAACAUUUAUAUCUGGAUUGUUGUCCAGUGAUUCUAAAUGUUUUUUCCUCUUCACAAUUUCCGGAAAACCUCGAAAUUGUUCAUGUAAAGUUUUGUGAUAAAUUGGACACUUUGUUUGAAUCUGGGACUAUGGAAGGGCGUAAAUUGCAGAAGUUACACACGUUGUAUCUAUUCGAACUGCCAGAGUUGAGGAGUAUUGGGAUACAAUUGGCAUGUCAACCAACUAUUAGGGCAUGUCCCAAGCUGGUAUUGGAUCAAGUUGACUCAAAGAACCAUAAAGGUUUUGAAAUUUAAAUUGCGGAGUAAGCGAGACCCUGAAGUUGCUGAUUUUGUUUUUUUUUUUUUUUUUUUUUUUGGGUGUCUCGUUGUAUGUAAACUUGCAGCAUCUUGUUAUGUGUGGAAGAAGCAUUUUGCUUCAUUCUUAUGCAUUUUGUGUGUCACUGCACUAGAAAUAUCUACUUCAUAAGUGUGGAUUGGCUGGAUUUGGUAAUUGGAAAUGUGAUGUUAAAGAGAUGCCGAGAAGACUAGUCAGGCGAUGAAUCUUCAACUUGGAUGAACAAAAGAACAAUGUUGCAUCUUGUGAUUUCUAGCACCAGUUGAAUGGAGAAUAAAAAAUUGAUGUUAUAGCUUUGAUAUUUUCGUUGUGUCAAGUAAGCAAAGUUUAUGUGCAUGUUUAAGGUGGUGAGGUUGGUUGGGGCCCUUGGGGGAUGGAGUUGAGAGUUGUUUUGGGACUAAGGACAUAUUUCUGUGUCUACAAUAGGUAUAUUAAGCAUGGAACUACUGAUUCCCAAUAAAGUAAGGAAGCCAUAGGAUUUAUGGAACCUCCGUAGUGUUUUGUGAGCCUUGUACUACAGGUUUUCAUAUAUUAUGAAAGAUUAUAUUUAAAAUAAGUCUAUGACGGUCCAAUGGUAAGCCAUUUUUUAUUUGAAUAGUGCUAAUCCUCCACCCCAAUGUAAAGAAUGCAUAUAUAGUUGUUAAAU